UACGUAGGGUGCGAGCGUUAAUCGGAAUUACUGGGCGUAAAGCGUGCGCAGGCGGUUUUGUAAGCCAGAUGUGAAAUCCCCGGGCUUAACCUGGGAACUGCAUUUGUGACUGGCAAGCUAGAGUAUGGCAGAGGGGGUAGAAUUCCACGUGUAGCAGUGAAAUGCGUAGAGAUGUGGAGGAAUACCGAUGGCGAAGGCAGCCCCCUGGGCCAAUACUGACGCUCAUGCACGAAAGCGUGGGAGCAAACAGG
rnacentral:rRNA from 1 species